rnacentral:rRNA from 1 species
GUGCAGCAGGCGCGAAAACUUCACACUGUGCGAAAGCACGAUGAGGGAAUCCCAAGUGCUUGCACGUAAGUGUAAGCUGUUUCUCUGUCUAAAACGCAGAGAGAGUAAGGGCUGGGUAAGACGGGUGCCAGCCGCCGCGGUAAUACCUGCAGCUCAAGUGGUGACCGUUAUUAUUGGGCCUAAAACGUCCGUAGCCGGUUUAAUAAAUGCCUGGGUAAAUUGUGUAGCUUAACUAUACGAAUUCCGGGUAGACUGUUAAACUUGAGACCGGGAGAAGUUAGAGGUACUCCUGGGGUAGAGGUGAAAUUCUGUAAUCCUAGGGGGACCACCAGUGGCGAAGGCGUCUAACUAGAACGGGUCUGACGGUGAGGGACGAAGCCCUGGGGCGCAAACGGGGAUUAGAUACCCCGUAGU